UGGGUAACCUGCCUCAAAGAGGGGAAUAGCCUCCCCGAAAAGGGGAGAUUAAUACCGCAUAAUAUGUUUAAGUCGCAUGACUUUAACAUCAAAGGAUUUUCUUUUAAGAAAUUCCACUUUGAGAUGGACCCGCGGCGCAUUAGCUAGUUGGUGAGGUAACGGCUCACCAAGGCAACGAUGCGUAGCCGACCUGAGAGGGUGAUCGGCCACAUUGGAACUGAGACACGGUCCAGACUCCGUAGGGAG
rnacentral:rRNA from 1 species